GCCGUGGUGGCACAACCUGGUACUGCGCAAUUCUUUUUAUCUUGUUUCCGCAAGGAUUUCCCGGUUCAAAUCCGGGCCACGGCG
rnacentral:tRNA from 1 species